GCAAUCCCCUCCCGUGAAGUGAGUCCUCCCUUAUCUCCUUAGCGUCACCUUUUCCGCACUUCCUUUUGAUUCGUGCGAAGACCGGGCUGAAAUUGGAUCGGAUCCACAAAGCGGAGCAAGAGAUAUCCAUA